rnacentral:misc_RNA from 1 species
GAUGAAGAACGCAGCGAAAUGCGAUAAGUAAUGUGAAUUGCAGAAUUCAGUGAAUCAUCGAAUCUUUGAACGCACAUUGCGCCCCUUGGUAUUCCGAGGGGCAUGCCUGUUCGAGCGUCAUUAUAACCCCUCAAGCUCAGCUUGGUGUUGGGGCCUGCUGCACUGGCAGCCCUUAAAAUCAGUGGCGGCGCCACUCGGCUUCAAGCGUAGUAAUUCUUCUCGCUUCGGAGACCCGGGUGCGUGCUAGCCAGCAACCCCCAACUUUCUUAGGUUGACCUCGGAUCAGGUAGGGAUACCCGCUGAACUUAAGCAUAUCAAUAAGCGGAGGA